CUCUAAUACAUCUUCCACUAACUAUUGAAACAAAAUGGAUUUCUCAGCAAUAAAUAAAAUUUCCAAGACGACUUUCCUUCCUCAGAAGGCGAUGUCCCAACUAACAUCGAACACAUUAUAUCAAGUUACUAAAGGUUAACAUAGUACUCG